rfam:Clostridium tetani E88, complete genome.
CCUAUGGAGUGUUACACAAAUGAAAGUAGACUUGGUAAAAUCGGAUACUAUGAAGUAGGAA